rnacentral:rRNA from 1 species
GCUCAGGACGAACGCUUGGCGGCAGGCUUAACACAUGCAAGUCGCACGAGAACGUCCCGACUUCGGUCGGGACAAGUACGGUGGCGGACGGGUGCGUAACGCGUAGACAACCUGCCUUCAGGCGUGGGAUAACCUCGGGAAACCGUGGCUAAUACCGCACGACGUCCAGCCCCCGCAUGGGGGCUGGAUGAAACCCCGACAGCCGUCGGGGGCCUGAAGAUGGGUCUGCGUCGGAUUAGCUCGUUGGUGAGGUAGCGGCUCACCAAGGUGACGAUCCGUAGCUGGUCUGAGAGGACGAUCAGUCACACUGGGACUGAGACACGGCCCAGACUCCUACGGGAGGCAGCAGUGGGGAAUCUUGCACAAUGGGGGCAACCCUGAUGCAGCCAUGCCGCGUGGAGGAAGACACCCCUAUGGGGCGUAAACUCCUUUUCUGGGGGAAGAAACCCCUGUUUUUCAGGGCGUGACGGUACCCCAGGAAUAAGCACCGGCUAACUCCGUGCCAGCAGCCGCGGUAAUACGGAGGGUGCAAGCGUUGUCCGGAAUCACUGGGCGUAAAGGGUGCGCAGGCGGAGCAGCAAGUCGGGGGUGGAAUCCUGCGGCUUAACCGCAGAAGUGCCCUCGAAACUGUUGCUCUUGAGUCCCGG